rnacentral:rRNA from 1 species
UAGUCCACGCCGUAAACGAUGGAUACUCGGUGCAGGAGGCUUCGAUCCUUUCUGUGCCUAAGCUAACGCGUUAAGUAUCCCGCCUGGGGAGUACGGUCGCAAGAUUAAAACUCAAAGGAAUUGACGGGGGAUCCACACAAGCGGUGGAGCAUGUGGUUUAAUUCGACGAUAAGCGAGGAACCUUACCUAGACUUGACAUCUCGAGAACCCUGUGGAAACACGGGGGUGCCCUUGUGGAACUCGAUGACAGGUGCUGCAUGGUUGUCGUCAGCUCGUGCCGUGAGGUGUACGGUUAAGUCCGAUAACGAGCGCAACCCUUGUCACUAGUUGUAUUUCUCUAGUGAGACUGCCCGUGUAAGCGGGAGGAAGGUGAGGAUGACGUCAAAUCAGCAUGGCUCUUACGUCUAGGGCUACACACGUGCUACAAUGGGGUAUACAAUGGGUAGCCAACCCGCGAGGGGGAGCCAAUCCCAUCAAAGUAUCUCCAAGUUCGGAUUGAAGGCUGCAAUUU